rnacentral:rRNA from 1 species
ACGAACGCUGGCGGCGUGCUUAACACAUGCAAGUCGCACGAUGAACCUCGAAAUGAUUUCUUCGGAAAGAUUUUUGAGAGGAUUAGUGGCGAACGGGUGAGUAACGCGUGAGCAACCUGCCUUAGACAAGGGGAUAGCCUCGGGAAACCGUGAUUAAUACCCUAUGAGACUCCACUUACGAGUGUAAGAGAAGUUAAAGCUAUUGCGGUCUAAGAUGGGCUCGCGUCUGAUUAGCUAGUUGGUGAGAUAAAAGCCCACCAAGGCGACGAUCAGUAACCGGCUUGAGAGAGUGAACGGUCACAUUGGAACUGAGACACGGUCCAAACUCCUACGGGAGGCAGCAGUGGGGAAUAUUGCACAAUGGGGGCAACCCUGAUGCAGCGACGCCGCGUGAGCGAUGAAGGAAUUCGUUUCGUAAAGCUCUGUCCUUGGAGAAGAUAAUGACGGUAACCAAGGAGGAAGCACCGGCUAAAUACGUG